UACAGAGGGUGCGAGCGUUAAUCGGAAUUACUGGGCGUAAAGGGCUCGUAGGCGGCCAACUAAGUCAGACGUGAAAUCCCCAGGCUUAACCUGGGAACUGCGUCUGAUACUGGAUGGCUUGAAUUCGGGAGAGGGAUGCAGAAUUCCAGGUGUAGCGGUGAAAUGCGUAGAUAUCGAGAGGAACACCGUGCGGCGAAGGCGGGUUGCUGGGCUGACACUGACGCUGAGGCGCGAAAGCUAGGGAGCGAACGGG
rnacentral:rRNA from 1 species